AGUGGGGAAUAUUGCACAAUGGGCGCAAGCCUGAUGCAGCCAUGCCGCGUGUGUGAAGAAGGCCUUCGGGUUGUAAAGCACUUUCAGCGGGGAGGAAGGGUCACUAGUUAAUACCUAGUGGCAUUGACGUUACUCGCAGAAGAAGCACCGGCUAACUCCGUGCCAGCAGCCGCGGUAAUACGGAGGGUGCAAGCGUUAAUCGGAAUUACUGGGCGUAAAGCGCACGCAGGCGGUUUGUUAAGUCAGAUGUGAAAUCCCCGAGCUCAACUUGGGAACUGCAUUUGAAACUGGCAAGCUAGAGUCUUGUAGAGGGGGGUAGAAUUCCAGGUGUAGCGGUGAAAUGCGUAGAGAUCUGGAGGAAUACCGGUGGCGAAGGCGGCCCCCUGGACAAAGACUGACGCUCAGGUGCGAAAGCGUGGGGAGCAAA
rnacentral:rRNA from 2 species